rnacentral:rRNA from 1 species
CAGCAGCCGCGGUAAUACGAAGGGGGCUAGCGUUGCUCGGAAUUACUGGGCGUAAAGGGCGCGUAGGCGGACAGUUCAGUCGGGGGUGAAAGCCCGGGGCUCAACCUCGGAAUUGCCUUCGAUACUGGCUGUCUUGAGUAUGAGAGAGGUGUGUGGAACUCCGAGUGUAGAGGUGAAAUUCGUAGAUAUUCGGAAGAACACCAGUGGCGAAGGCGACACACUGGCUCAUUACUGACGCUGAGGCGCGAAAGCGUGGGGAGCAAACAGGAUUAGAUACCCCAGUAGUCCCUGUCUCUUAUAC